GCGGCGCGCUUACACAUGCAAGUCGAGCGAGAAAGGGGAGCAAUCCCUGAGUACAGCGGCGUACGGGUGAGUAACACGUGGGUAAUCUACCUUCGAGUGGGGGAUAACCCUGGGAAACCGGGGCUAAUACCGCAUGAGCCUGAGAAGGGAAAGCAGCAAUGCGCUGGAAGAGGAGCCCGCGGCCGAUUAGCUAGUUGGUGAGGUAACGGCCCACCAAGGCGAUGAUCGGUAGCCGGCCUGAGAGGGCACACGGCCACACUGGCACUGAAACACGGGCCAGACUCCUACGGGAGGCAGCAGUGGGGAAUCUUGCACAAUGGAGGCAACUCUGAUGCAGCGACGCCGCGUGAGCGAUGAAGCCCUUCGGGGUGUAAAGCUCUUUCGGCAGGGACGAUAAUGACGGUACCUGAAGAAGAAGCUGCGGCUAACUACGUGCCAGCAGCCGCGGUAAUACGUAGGCAGCGAGCGUUGUUCGGAAUUACUGGGCGUAAAGAGUGUGUAGGCGGUGCUCUAAGUUCGGUGUGAAAUCUCCUGGCUUAACUGCGAGGGUGCGCCGGAAACUGGAGUGCUCGAGCGUGGGAGAGGAAAGCGGAAUUCCUGGUGUAGCGGUGAAAUG
rnacentral:rRNA from 1 species